GUCGACGACCACGAACCGCAGCUCGCCAAGGCUAGUCCAGACAACCCCGCGAUUCAUGGUAAAUCACCCUCCAACUGUUUCACUUCUGCGGUAGCAAGCGUUUUAACCUAGUAUCACCGGAGUAGGACACGAGAAACCUCGAUUGCGCAUUUCUCUGGCGUUGCGCCGCCGCGGCUGCCCUGUCUACCGUCGUGGUCGAAUCGGAGGAAGGAGAUAAGAGCGGGGUCGUAGAUCAUCGCGUGGAUGUCCACGAUUAGAAGAAGGAUACCUCUUCAGUUGAUCUGUGACGUCGAGCGGCAAUCAGAGGGCUUGGAUUGGAUCGUGGCAUGGAAGUGGUGAGGCCGUCGGAUCUCGUUCCACCGAUCGUGGUUUCUUACCGAUUCACGGGAGAGUAGCAUCCAAUCUGAGCCGUUGGGUUGUGAUUGGGUGGUCGGAAACACGCGAUACCCCUUUGGGUUGGGGAUCUUUCUAAACAACCCCCUAUUUUACUGAUAUUAACCCGCCAUCUCGUGCUAGGGUAACUGUGAAGUGCCCCGAUCCUUUAGGACUCAAAUGUGAUAGAAUUACUAGUCCCAGGAGGCUAGUAACCACAUUCCUUACUUCAAAUAGUACAGAGUUCGAAUAAAUGUUAUUACAAUACCAGAGUACAAGCUCGAGUGAGCCAGAAAUACAAAGCGCAGUAGAAGAUAAACUAGCCCAAGCCACAGGCAGAACUGGGUGAAGACACAGCCCCCUCAAUCAAGCAUAGCAGAAAAGAAGUCUUCAGCUGCUGAAAAACAUAAAUAAAUCUGGGUGAAUACACUAGGUAUUCCGCAAGCCCACCCCGCUCCCAUAAAGAGAAAGAGACCUCUAUCAUACAUGCAUUAGAUGGUGGAGUUGAAGUCACUCUUCUUUUUCUUAGAGAAAGGCAGUACCUUUUUUAGGGUUUUCCCGAAGAAAUAGAAAUAACACGUUGCUUAACUACCACUGAGCUUCCCGCUCCCGUGGCAUCAUUUUCUUUUCCAGAGAUACACUCACACACACAUAUUUCCCUGUCCACGGAGAUUAUAAAACUCUAAUUGUCAUACCACACCAGACUCGUCCAUUCCAGUGAACACGGACUAUUCGAAUAGGUUUGAACUAUGCGCAGAGGGGUACACUUUACCCACUAGUCCGGCUCUGCGAUCUCAUGGCCAAUGAGAUCUGAAUCCGAAUAUCUUUCCUUCUUCGCACGUCCUAACCUUAACGGUUAUACCGGAAGGAGUCAGGCCACCGCCAUGUCCAAACUGGACAAAACAUUCCCCCUCUUUAUCCUCUCAGUGCUCCCCAGCCUUCAUAACCCUAGGGUUGGACCGUACGAGUUCAGAUCGAGUGACUGCCCACACAGCCUCAAGUGGUUGUACUUUUCAUGAGUACAGGUAGUGAAGGAUGACAAACCGGUCCUUAUAUGAGGGGACAAUCCUUCUGCUCACACCUAAACUAGCUGAGCCAUCACCUUAGGCCCUCCCCUAAACCAGGGAGUCCCUGAUCAUCCCACUCACCAGGUGAUGAGGGUGAAUACCCUUCAUCGCACACUUUUUGAAAACAUCGUUUGGUUAAAACCACUGCCCCUUUUUCCCAUCCCAUAUUUCGUGCUCAAAAGAUGUUUGUUAAUGCGGGGCUAUCUCUCUGCUCACAAUGCAAUCAUUCCAUCCCUUAAUCCUGCCUUAGGUAGUGGUAGUGAGAAUAGGUAAAUUAUUUAUCAAGGGAAGGAUGGACUUGCCUUCGUCGAAGCUUUCCUGGCACAAAAGAUUUAUCUUGGAGGGGUCGGGUUCCUACCCUUCUUCUAGAGCUACAAAUUCCGGAGGAUCGGAUCCUUCUUCGCUAACAAGCACAGAUAAGGAACAAUACAUCAAUCAUGGUGACUUAGUGGGAUGUGCCAAUUAUUAUACAUUAUUAUUUUUGCGCCCCAUAAUUUAUUUAAACUAUUUUGGUGCAUAAAAUAUCAGCAUAUAAAUAUAUAUGUGAAAAUGGGAAAAAGGAUAGGAAAAGGAAAAAGAAAAGGAAUUCCAGGUUAACCAGGCCGGGGGGAUUCCGGCCUGGUCGGGCGCGGGCGCGCGGCAUUGCGGCCAAUUGGGCCCAGACGACCCACGAGGAGUGGGGGACGGCGCGGCGGACGCCGUGGGCGCGAGCCCACGCGCCAGAGAAAGGGGGGCUGACGGCGUGGAACGGUGACAGGGGGGAGAGGGAGCCGGUCGGGGUUCGACCGUUAGUGAAAUCCCACGGCGGUUCUCCGCCGGGAUUCCGGUUUUGUGACGGGGGAGUGGUGGCGAGGCACGGGCGAGGGUAGGGGAUCUCGGAGGUGGGGUCAAUUUGACAGGUGGAGGCCUGGGGUGGCCGGUCCACGGCGGGUGGCGGGCGCUCGCGACGGUGAAGUCGCCAGCGAGGCCACCGGGCGCAAUAGGCGACGAGCAGGUGUGCGCUAGGCUUGUGACAGAGUGACGGACCUUAAGAGCUAGAGCAAUUUGAUCAAACACCACUAGAGAGAGAGAGGAAGAUGGAGCUCACCGGAGAGGGAGGGACGACGACGGCGCUGGCUCAAUCGAGCUCGGGGAAGGGGAGGGGGGAGGUAGCCGAGGCUGGUGUGGGGAAGGCGGAGCUCAGGCGGUCCUUUUUAUAGGCGCCCGGGGAGGGGGAAGGGAGGAGGGGCGGCAAGUGCCGACGAGCUCGCCAUGACGGUGGUGAUGGCACAAACUGGCGACGGGACGACUUGAGCAGGCGAGGGGGGGGGGGGGGGUGGGGGGGGGAAGGGGGGGCGGGGGGGGGGGGAGGGGGGGGGGGGGGGGGGGGGGGGGGAAGGGACAGCUCGGGCACAGUGAGCGGGGGCGCAUGGUGCCAAUCGAGCCGGUGAGCGCGUUAAUGGCGAGGAGACGAGGCGGGCGGUGGUCAGCGGCGAACACGCCGGUGAAGUCAUGGGCGGGACGAGGGGUCUGACGGGCGGGCCCGGGCUGCCAACGGAAGAGUGACGAGAGAGGGAGAGGGGAGGGGCAGCUGACGGGUGGGGCCGGGGUGUCAGGCGCGGACGCGCGAUGCUAGGCUGCUUGGGCCGCGAGAGGGAGAGGGGAGGAGCGGGCGCGCGAGAGGGGGGUGGCUUGGGCCGAAAGCAGCCCUGCCGAGGAGGGAGUUUUUCUUUUUUUCUAUUUUCUAUUUCUCAUUUCUAUUUUCUAUUUCUUUUUAUCUCUUUUUCUUUUGAGCAAUAAUUAGCUAAAUAAUCUUAGGUGCUAAAAAUAAUCUAUGUGAGGUGCUUCUAACAAUCAAAGUGUAUGCAUAUGAUGAGAUGACCUAUGGGAUGUAGUUUAGGGGGAGAUAAAAAAAGGGUUAGGAGAUUAGGGUUCCAAACCUUGGGUUGAAAUUUUGGGAUGUUACAAACCUACCCCACUUAAAGGAAUCUCGCCCUCGAGAUUUAGACUGGAUUUGAGAAAAGAUAAGGGUAUUCCCUCCUCGAAGAGUCCUCACUUUCCCAGGUAGCUUCCUCUUCUCCUUCUCUCCUCCAAUGAACUUUACAGAGCCUCACUUUUGAGUUGUGGGUCUUCCGGACUGUUGAGUCAAGAAUCUUUUUUGGCUUCUCUCGGUACUGAAGAUCUUUCUGAAUCUGUAUUGCCUCUUCUUCGAUGUGACUUUCUAGUACUUGCAGGCAUUUGCAGAGCUGGGACACGUGAAACACAUUGUGGAUAUCAGACAUGGAUUCUGGUAAUUCAAGACGGUACGCUGCGGGUCCCACUCUGCCAAUGAUGAGAUAUGGGCCGACGAAUCGCGAUGCUAGCUUUCCUUUCACUUGGAACCUUCUGACACCACGCAUCGGGGAGACCUUGAGGUAGACGAAGUCUCCUUCCUCAAAUAUGAGUUCUCUCCGCCUGUUGUCCGCAUAACUUUUCUACCGACUCUGAGCUUCAAGUAACCUUUUGCGGAUCAGGGCAACUUUCUCUUCAGCCUCUUUAACAAAGGCAAGCCCUUCCAGUGUCUUUUCCCCUACGUUGGACCACAUGAGAGGGGUCUAGCACUUUCGUCCAUACAAUGCUUCGAACGGUGACAUCUUG
rnacentral:lncRNA from 1 species